GGGAGUAUAGCUCAGUGGUAGAGUGCUUGCCUAGCAUGCACGAAGUCCUGGGUUCAAAUCCAAGUACCUCCA
rfam:Loxodonta africana unplaced genomic scaffold scaffold_24, whole genome shotgun sequence.